GGGAGCUGGUGGUGCCUGCACGCGCCCUGCUCAUCUCCCACACUCACUCACGCGCGCCAACCAGCCAGCCUGGCCGACCGCCUCUCCCCGUCAUCAUCACACUCUCCCUCCAACGCUCGUGCUGCCAGGUAAUAUCCAGUGAUAACCGGAGAAUAUUACCAGUGUAAGAGAAUACUGAUAAUUAAUUAAUCACGAGUGA